CACCCCCGUUCUCCCGCAGGAAGUACAUCUGGAGGACGUACCACCUGACUUACAACGGGGAGAAGCUGGCGGAUGACAGAAAGAAGCUGAGAGAGUAUGGCAUCAGGAACCGGGAUGAGGUCAGCUUCAUCAAGAAACUCCGAAAGUGACCUGUCAGGUAGAACAGAGAAUCCAUUCCUGCCAGGAUCAGAUAAGGGAUUCAGUGCUCUCCAAGAGGAAGAGGUUGAAAGAUUUCACAGAGAAGCAAACUCCAGUUGAACAGAUGCUCUUACAUGUUUUUGCAGUUCUUGCUGUUCAAAACGUCUGCCUCUGAGCUGUAUGCAGAAUGUGCUUUUUGUAAUUAAAGUGACUCUCAUUUUUCUGAG